rnacentral:rRNA from 1 species
GACGAACGCUGGCGGCGUGCUUAACACAUGCAAGUCGAACGAAGAGCGAUGGAAGCUUGCUUCUAUCAAUCUUAGUGGCGAACGGGUGAGUAACGCGUAAUCAACCUGCCCUUCAGAGGGGGACAACAGUUGGAAACGACUGCUAAUACCGCAUACGAUCCAAUCUCGGCAUCGGGACUGGAUGAAAGGUGGCCUCUAUUUAUAAGCUAUCACUGAAGGAGGGGAUUGCGUCUGAUUAGCUAGUUGGAGGGGUAACGGCCCACCAAGGCGAUGAUCAGUAGCCGGUCUGAGAGGAUGAACGGCCACAUUGGGACUGAGACACGGCCCAGACCCCUACGGGAGGCAGCAGUGGGGAAUCUUCCGCAAUGGACGAAAGUCUGACGGAGCAACGCCGCGUGAGUGAUGACGGCCUUCGGGUUGUAAAGCUCUGUUAAUCGGGACGAAUGGUUCUUGUGCGAAUAGUGCGAGGAUUUGACGGUACCGGAAUAGAAAGCCACGGCUAACUACGUG